GAAUAUAUGUGUCCUGACGCGGUGAAAGGGACCUUACGGUUCCAAAGCAAAUUUUACAGGAGAGGCGCUCGAAGUGUAGCACGAAAAUAGACAUUUGAGUAGUGGGGACGUACAACUGCAAAUCAGCACCACUGCUCACCACUACAACGCUACACUCAUAUGUCUGUGAGCAUGCUACCUUCGUGCAUCUUCGGCUCUACCAUAUCUUGUACCUCCCUACUCUUUCUAAGCUCUGAUGUAAACAUUGCCCUGGGCCCGGCAAAUGGAUUCAGUUUAUAUUAAAGUUAAUUGAUUAAUUUUGAUUGACAAAAUAAUACGUAAAUAACUUGAAAUAUCUUGUUCGGAUUUGUCGGAUUAAUUAGAUGAGGGCGAGCUUAUUAAGAAGCAUCUCCAUUUUUAAAAGUAAUUUUGUGGUUAUAAAAGUUGGAUUUUUGACAGAAGUGGGGACAGACAUUGAAUCUAUGUGGCGCCAAUUCUAGCUAGUGGCCGCUGCUGAACUAACUUACCCCAAAUUACUCCACUUUAAAUCUUUAAUAAAAUAAUUUCCUCACAAUAUUAUUGCAAAAAUAAUAUUCCUCUAUUAUUCCUCCAAAUGCCAACUCGAAAUACUUUAUCCUUUAAAGAUGAGAAGAAAUUUACGAAACCCCUUUUUGACAAUGUUUAAACAUUUUUUUAAUAAUUAUUUAUUAAUUCUCUGAAAAUCGUUGUUAUCAAAUAAAAUUAAUUUUUAUUAUUUAUUUUAUCAACAGAGAAAUUUUCAAUUUUUACUUUUCUUACAACAGUAAAAAUAACAUUACUUUUGCUGUAUAAAUAAGUUAUAUGUCUUGAAUUUAAAAUAUAAAUUAUUAUUAUUAUUAUUAUACAUUAUUAAAAUAAUGAAAAUCUAAUAAAUUGUUUAUUGCAAUUUUACUGGCUUUAAUAUGAGAUAAAUCCAUUUUCCGGGCCCAGCGCAAUGUAUACAUCAGAGCUUAGAACUAGUGGGGAGAGACAAGAAAUGGUAGAGCCGAAGAUGCACGAAGGAAACACGCUCACCGAUAUACGAGGGUAGCGUCGUAGUGGUGAGCAGUGGUAGUGGUUUUGCAGUAGCCACGAGGCGCCCGAGAAUACGCGGAAAAGUACUUAUGUUUAAAGCUAUAUAACACAAUAAGUAUUUGAAGGAGACAAAUUUUAAUUGUUGGAAAUGAAAAAGCAACUCAAAAACUAUCGAUUGGUAUAAAAAAAUAAAAA